AGUGAAGAUUUUCCUUAGGUUCUUAUGAUCCACGUUGAUGACAUUUUUUUAUAUUUUUUUUAUGUCCAAGAAGAUAGUACUUCCAUGCUCCACAUCACGUCUCAGGUACAUACUAAGUAUGGUGAAAAUUGAUCUCACAACUAAGGGUGGCUUGAACCAAAGAUCAAUCUUGACAAAACUUAAACUUCUUAUAGAUGACCAUAAUCAUAGAAUAUCUCAGAAGACAAUUAUCACUUCAAGAUAGUUUUAUAAUGCAUCAUCCGGUAAUAUCAAGGUGCUACCCCCCUUAAAAUGAGAUUGAUUGGGGGACACUAAGGACUAGUUCUCCUAUCCUUUUUAGACGCUACACAUCAUAGUCUUUUACAUUCGUUGUACCGAGUCUCUUGAUCCAAGGUUAGUUUCAUCCCUAAGUUCUAAUUUUCGGUACCUUUAUCACGGUUAAGUUGUUUCACUCUCAUACUGUAC
rnacentral:lncRNA from 1 species